rnacentral:rRNA from 1 species
AUUGAACGCUGGCGGCAUGCUUUACACAUGCAAGUCGAACGGCAGCGCGGGCUUCGGCCUGGCGGCGAGUGGCGAACGGGUGAGUAAUACAUCGGAACGUGCCCAGUAGUGGGGGAUAGCUCGGCGAAAGCCGGAUUAAUACCGCAUACAACCUGAGGGUGAAAGCGGGGGAUCUUCGGACCUCGCGCUAUUGGAGCGGCCGAUGGCAGAUUAGCUAGUUGGUGGGGUAAAGGCCUACCAAGGCGACGAUCUGUAGCCGGUCUGAGAGGACGACCAGCCACACUGGGACUGAGACACGGCCCAGACUCCUACGGGAGGCAGCAGUGGGGAAUUUUGGACAAUGGGCGAAAGCCUGAUCCAGCAAUGCCGCGUGUGUGAUGAAGGCCUUCGGGUUGUAAAGCACUUUUGGCGGGAACGAAAAGGACUGUGCCAAUACCACGGUUCGAUGACGGUACCCGCAGAAUAAGCACCGGCUAACUACGUG